CUUUUACGUCAGCGGACGGCUCGUCGGCUCCCUUGCGAGUGCAACCCUUAUUUGCUCUGUUCGAAAAUGUGGAGGUGCAUAUCUCUUCUUGUGGUUCUCCAGCUCCAUGUUUGUCCGUCGCCGCGGUUUUUCUCUUGUGACCUUGGCGCUACCCAGAAGUCUCAGUGAUGCGAUGACGCCCAUCAAGCUCUCCAGGUUAUCCUGCAGCUCGGAGACUGGCCCCUCUCCUCCCUCCGCGUCUUCAACGACGUCCCUCCGCUCCGAGACACCUGGCAAGGUUCUCGUGCGUAUCCGCGACCGUGACGGAGCCACGUACGAGCGUAUGUACAAUGAGGGCGACAACUUGAUGGAGGCAAUCCGUGACGACACCACCCUGCCGGUGGAGGUGCCGGGGGCCUGCAACGGCACCUGCCAGUGCUCCACCUGCCAUGUUCUCCUUCGCUCCGCGGAGUGGUUAGGCAAGGUGGAGAAGCUGUUUGCCAUCACGGACGCCGAGCAGGACUGCCUUGAUAAGGCGCCUGGCGUAUCGGAUGCCUCACGGCUCAGCUGCCAGCUCACUUUGUCAGGGGAGCUCAACGGAAUUGAAAUCGACCUGCCAACGAGCACGCUGGACGUGCGAUGGCAGGCUGCCUAUCGACGCUCCACCAAGAAGUGAGCGGGUGGGCAAAGGCCGUGCAGCGCCCCUUGCUAUGGAUCCGGACUUGUUGGGCUGGCCGCCCCCUUGGGGAAGGGGUGUCUGCGCUUGAAUAGCCACUCCCUGUGCGCAUGGGGCACGUCUCACUUAUGGAGCAACAUUCGCACUCCCGGAGGGGACAACUGAGCGAUGUCGUCUUGCCUCUACGCGGCUGGUAAGUUGGUUCUCCGCUGCCGCCCCUUCCCGUGUCUUCCCUGCAGACAUCCGGCCUGCAUUUUAUCGCGUCGCUGAGCUGAAAGGCGCGCGCAUACACAC
rnacentral:misc_RNA from 1 species